UGUGACAUUUACUCCGCAAGGGUUCUUCC
rnacentral:piRNA from 1 species